rnacentral:sRNA from 1 species
ACUUAGCCCUGAUGGGAGUGGAAAUACUUAUGAAGUGGCCUUGUCUUUUUUUCUUGACUUAUAAGAGCGACUGCAAGAAGCUCCUUAUGAGUCUUUAGAAAAAAUCAAGGACUCAAGUAAGAUUGUAACGACAGCAGGAAAUUGC